ACUACAUGUGCAUUUCCAGAGCUGCAGUUCCACGGGGAGCUCUCAGUUACCUGGGAACAGAGGCUGACUCCCACCUGGCUACACCCUCCUGUCAGGGACUUGCAGAGUUCCCGUGUCAUCAUGCCAUCCAUGGGCUUUGUGAUGACAGCAACUGCACGGUGUGACAGCAGCAGCCAAAGAACUGGAG